rnacentral:lncRNA from 10 species
CUUUUGUGAGAGUCAAUUGAUGAAGCAAACUUUAUUGUUACCUUAUUUUAAGAAAUUGCCACAGCCACUCCAACCUUCAACAACUACUACCCUGAUCGGCCAUCAGCCUUUAAUAUGGAAGUGAAACUGGCAAAAUGAUUAUGAUUCACUGAAGACUCAGAUGAUAAUUGGCUUUUAUGUUUUAGCAAUAAAGUAUUUUAAAAUUAAGUCCACAGAUUUACAACUUGAGGUGGCCUGCACCAGACCCACGGGGCAAUAACAGUCUUCCAUUGAAUUCUUUAGCAGUUUCUACAAUUGCAUAAGAUCCUAGCUGGCUCAAGAGUCUUCUUGCCUCUGCUGCAGCAAUUACUUGGCUUGGUGUGUAGAUGUCUGAAUGCCAUGAAGUUUAGAGAGGAAAAGAUGACAAGAGCAAAGUAAACAAACAAGAAAGGCCGUGGAUCUUGGUUGAUGCCAACAGAUGCCGUGUCGUGAAGAUGCUCUGAAGGAAAGACGUUGACGGGGUCUCCUCACUCUCCUGGGCCCUUCUGACUAGUGACUGUCUUCUCACUGCUGCUGCUACCAGUGCCCAGUUUGUUGCCUGAAGCCAAAAGCUGAAAGCUCACAUAAUCUUUUGAAGAGUACUACAUAAGUAAAUUGAGUUCUCAUAAUGAAGAAUAGCUGAGUAAACACUGCCACACCAUGUGGCUACAUGCAUUUCCUAAGAUUAAAAACAUUUGCAGUUACAGAAACAGACAUGGGAUAGGAAACACAGGUCUAUUUUAUUUUGUGGGUUUUGAAAUUAAACCAAUUGUUUACAGUAAAGGCGCUGAAGUUCUGCAGAUUAAAAGAAUGAAUUAAAUGUAUUUAUUCAACAAAUAUUUAUUGAUCAUCCACUACAUGCCAGACACUGAGCCAGGUGCCAAAGACAAGCAUGGGUCAUAGAGGUUUCAUGGUGCUUCCGG